GAUGAAGAACGCAGCGAAAUGCGAUACUUGGUGUGAAUUGCAGAAUCCCGUGAACCAUCGAGUCUUUGAACGCAAGUUGCGCCCGAAGCCAUUAGGCCGAGGGCACGCCUGCCUGGGCGUCACACGUCGUUGCCCCCCCAUCUACUCCUUCGGGAUUGCGGGGGGCGGAUGAUGGCCUCUCGUGCGCCUCGUCGCGCGGUUGGCCUAAAUGCCAAGUCCUCGGCGACGCACGCCACGACAAUCGGUGGUUGCGAAACCUCGGUUGCCGGUCGUGUGCGGUCGUCGCGCAUCGAGGGCUCGAAAAAAUUGCCGGGCUUCGGCUCGACUUUCAACGCGACCCCAGGUCAGGCGGGGUUACCCGCUGAAUUUAAGCAUAUCAAUAAGCGGAGGA
rnacentral:misc_RNA from 1 species